GGAGCUGAUCGCUGAGUCCGUCCUCUCCUCCUUCAGAUCAGAAGGAUUUAAUUUCUCCUCGUCUGGCAGAGAGGAUGUGGACGUCCGGACUCUGGGAACCGGUCGUCCGUUUGCGAUGGAGCUGCUGAAUCCUCACAGAUCCAAACUGAGCCGAGCGGAGAUGAAGCUGCUGCAGGAGACAAUCAACAAUUCUUCAGACAAAAUCAAAGUGAGAGACCUGCAGAUUGUGUCCAGGUGAGAAAAUAUGAAACU